AUAGAAUUCUAAAAAUACAAAUUAAUUGCUAUAAAUAUAUUCAAUACAAGAAGACGUACACGAGUAAGAAGAAGAUUGUAAGAGAAAACUCACAGCCAUUAAUGACACUUAGCUCCUGGUAAAUGUUGUAUGUAUAGCUAUCAUAGUUAUC